rnacentral:lncRNA from 1 species
GUAAAGAGAUUAAAAUUGGAUUUAGUGCGUAUUUUUGAAAAAAUUUUACCACAAAAUAUGGUAGUCUCCCCCCGUCGAUGACACUUGUGACGUCAGGUACAUACGGGACUUUGGAGGCGGGUUUUGGCGGGAAAAUCUGUAAUGUUUGGAGAAGACAAGAUGGCGCUGGUUACCUCGUGUUAUAUCAAACGGCAUUUUUGUUCACAAAUACCCGCUUAUUUUACGUUAUAGCGACUGGUUCGUUUUGGAAAUUAUAACUCAAUGGACGGGGAAAAUGAUUCUGUAUUAAAGAGAAAAUGAUGUGCAGUUAUUGUGAUGUUAUUUGUUGUGAAAGACGGCCGAAAUUUCGCUACUUCGCAGUACUGGUUUAUAAAACAUUUACAAGCAACAGCAAUUGAACUAUAUGACAAAGAAACCAAUGUAUACAAG